rnacentral:tRNA from 1 species
ACGGGUGUAGCUCAGGGGUAGAGCCCAUGCUUAGUGUGCACGAGGUCCUGGGUUCAACCCCCAGCACCUCUG